CAAAAAAUCAGUAAGUAAUGUUAUCUCUUCUCUCCUCUCUCACGACAACAACAACACAACAACACCACUAACCUUUUCUUAGCCCUUUAAUGGAACUUCCAAGCUAUUUCUAUUCACAAGUUCAUGAUACAAACAUCAUGACCCAAGUGAGAACUCAAGAUUUCUCUCUAUUUCACUCUUUUUCUUUCCCGACGCUCUCUCACCCAUUUUGCAUCUCAAACCCUUUGUUGUUCAAGAAAGCUUUGCAUGUGUUAAUCAAUAGCACCCAAGGAAUAAGGUGAGGAACAGAACCACCAUUAAUGGUGGAGGAGGUUAGGACGAACUGGACAAGGCCAGAAUCAGAACUUGGAAUUGGAGUUAGAAGGGAUUCAUGACCACCAAGGUAUUUGCUGACGAAAUUACCUUCGUUAUGGUGUCAAAUUCGUGGAAUUUGACUGAGAAUUGAGAUCUGGAGACCAGUUUGAAGUUGAGGGUCUGAUAUGGAAAUUAUGCGGAAAAUCCUGUUUACCGGUUUAAACUGCUUUUGCUGCAAAUUCUGCAUUUUGGCUAGUUCCAGAAAUAUCGGUUGUAUUGUUCGAGCGUCAACUCAGGUGGGUUCCCUUAGAGCCUUAAACUCUAGUUAGUUUAGCUCCAUUAGUUUCCCCAAAAUUUAAUGUUUCCCGAUUCAGUUAUGUACACUCUUGUCGAUAUUCUAGAUAAAUCGAUAUGGGGCGUUAUAAUUGGUAUCAGAGCAGGUCGAUUCAGUAUCGGACCUUGCCGCGGAUCAUUAAAGUUCAAUAAAAGUAGUACGGACCCUUUGGAGUCUAGACUGUUUACGCUGAAA